rnacentral:lncRNA from 1 species
AGAGCGCACCUGACGCCAGGGCAGGCUGGUCCGGGACUGAACCGGGUGAGAGCGCCUGUCAUGUACCGACCGACCAAAGUUUGUAGGAGCGAUACGAGGACACGAGCAACCAGUCUGAACCACUUUCAGACUCAGGAACUUGUGCACAGUGAAUCAGGCGCACAGAAGUUGGUCCGCCCGCCGUUGGAGGUGCCGCCAUAAAGACGGGCCCACUAGACAGGCACUUCUCAGAUGGAGCCGGGGCACCCAACACAUAGGCCAAGAUUGAAGCGGUUACCCAGAAGUGGGGCCGCACUCAGGGCCUGCACACUUUUACACAGAAAGGCAGGUACAACCAACAGAUGCCCAGCGACAGAAGAUAGAAACCAGGCAAGGCAGGAACACUGGCACCGUGUGAGAACUGUACUAUUGGCUACCCUGCAAAACUCACCCACCCCACCAGCACCCACCCCUCCACGAGGGUGCCUGUACUUCCCAGCAACCCCAGGCUGUGGAGAGAGGGAGCCCACCACCCCCUUGUCAACUCCAGACUGA